CUGUGGCGCUCCAGGCCCGGGGGUGUCGCCUUCCCCAGUGUCUUGCGGGGGUGGGCGCCAGGCUGGGCCUCUUGACAGUUUCACGCCUACUUAGAAUUUCCCGUUGGCUUUGCAGAGGGGUAGCUGCGCCCUCCCCUUGGAGAGAGAGGCCAUGUCUGCACCCGAAGAUAACUCACAGAGGCCGAGAAGCGCUCCCGGGAAUCGCGGGCCGCGACGGGCAAUUCCACUCGCCCAGUUAGUGCCAGGGGCCUCCUCCAGCCCCCUUUGGUCGUCUCUGGUCCCCUCGGAUGCCUUGGAUCAUACUGAGCCGCUCCAGCGC
rnacentral:lncRNA from 1 species